GUCCUGGGUAGCUUAGUGGACAUGGCAUCUGCCCGGUAAGCGGAACAUUGUGGGUUCGAUUCCCAUCCCUGGACA
rnacentral:tRNA from 1 species